GCCGUCUCCUGCCCCUGCUUUAUCCGCAGCCACGCGGGCUUUCUCUCAGUUCCUGAAAGAUUGGCACCGCCCUGGUGGCGGCCGUAGAUCUUCUUUCAAGAAAGAACACGCUAUUCAGUGGCAAAGAGUGCAGGGAGCUGACCGCCUACAGCAGCAGGAAUCGGCCUCAGCCUUUGAGCCUACGCUGUGCUCAUUUCGUCAAGGCUCAGAGGGUCCCCGAGCACACGGUACCUGGGCUUCAGAGCUCCCGGCUGGGGCCACCUGACCUUUUCAGAGGAGCUGUCGUGGAAGAUGAUUAAUGCUGAUCUCUGGAGUCCCGGUGAGAUGAAGCUGGGUGUCAGCCUUUUGGCAAACUCUUUGGUGUGGUGUGGCUGUGUCACCAGCAUUGAGAGCCGUGCUUGGCAUGUGGCAGGAAUCAACAUCAGUGGGUUGGAGCCAUCGGCGUAUUAAUAAUCAAUGGAUGCAUCUCUGUGGUUCCCAGAUAGUGCUUUUGUUUUCGGAUUCUGCAGAACGCACACCGAGCUUGAAUAAGCCGCAAACCGCAGACUCCCACCGCCUAAGAGAUUAUUAACAGGAGCACCAGAUCCAUUCCAAGUACGAACAAACCCGGCGAGGUUUCCUGGCUGCGGCUACUGCGUGUCAUUACCUUGGAGAAACCUUGCGUUCAACCCGGGAAAAUCCUAGUUAGAAGAAGAAUUACAGUUAUCGCCAGAUUGAUUUAGUGAUAAAAAUUCACCGUAAAAGAUAAAAUUCCUUGAUUUUUCAAAAUGCACUUUGGAGCCAUCUACACGUUUGCAGCUGGGAUACAUCUAUUUUUUUUUUUUUUAAGUAAGAAUUGGAGAGAAUUCAUUAAAUCAGUCCCUUGGGGAAGAUUACCGCUAAUUAAUUAAUUGCCAACAUUUCCAGAGGGAAGGUAUGUCAAUUGUAAAGUAAUAAAAUUAGGUAGUUGAAAUACUUACUCAGCAACUUUGAUUGCCCAUUCAUUCUUAAGCAGAAUUUUUUUUUUUUUAAAUGACAGAAAAAUGGGGAGGGUGAUGAAGAAAAAGCAUUAGUUCUGUCCUCUGGCGAUCUGGUUGCAAAGGAGAAACUACCAUAUAGGAUUUAUUGAUUUUCAGCUGAUUUAUAAGAUCUCUGUGGUAUCAGUGCUGUGUGCAAGGCCUCCAGGCCUACCUCUUGUAUUCCCUCUCUAGGAUUCAAAAAAAGGAACAUGAUUUGGGAAAAAAAAAAAAAAAGAAAGAAAGAAAAGAGGAGGAAGAACAGUGGUGAAGUGAAUUGGGAGAUGUGACUAUAAAUGCUUCAGCAUUUUCUUCAUCUGCAGAAAAGAAAACAAACAAAAGAGCCAGUUUUCUGUUAAGGCAUCUUUCGUACUAUUGUGUUCUAAGUUGCUUUAAGGUAUAAGAAUGUCUUGGAGAGGAAGGCUGCUCUUUCCAGGCAUGGAGACCUUGAUUUCACAUUGCUUUCCUGGAGAGAGGCAGCACUCAAAGCAAGCCCACUUGCUGCCACUGACAUUUGAUUGUCGCCACCUUAAGCAUUUAGUGGGGUUCCCUAAAAGUGUUCCUAUGAAGUGUGCCUUUUCCCAUUAUUUGGGGGCCCUUGUUACAAAACCAAACCAUCAGUUUCAACCAGUAUCAACUUCUGUCUGGCAGAAACCUCGGGUGAAAAGGAGUGUUUCCUGGAAAGUGAUUCAAGGAAGCUGCCACGGAAUUUGCUCUCUUCCGGACUUGUUGACAGGCAGUCACAUCGACAGCCAAGUGCCCUGAGCCUCUCCACAGCGCUGGCUUUUCAUUGCUUUGUUCAGCCCUGAUUCAUUUAGUUUGGGGAGAACUGCCCAAUUGUCUGUGUAUCCAUAUUGAAUUUUACUGAAGCAAGUAAAUAAACCUAUCAAAUACAGACCCAAUUGUAUUUAAGGGAGUCAUUCUACCUUGUUUUAUAUAGAUGAUACAGAUUCUUUUAUUGUAUUAUACCACAUACCCUGAUAGCGCCUCUAACUGCUCAUUAAAACAAAUCUGAAACAGUCAACAGUCAAAGGCCUCUUUGGAGCAGGGAGAGUACUAAUCUGACAUUGUUUAUUUGAAGUUCAGGUUGCUUUGAUUGAAAUGUACUGAAGGGCUUGAGCAGGCAGAGUAAAGAAUGUGUCUUGAUAGUAAACCUGAAUGCAGGUGCCACACACAAAAAAGGAAAUCAUACUGUACUAUUUUGAAUAUUUUAAAUAUUUCUGAUUUCCUAAUGAUUUAGAAAGACAAC